rnacentral:rRNA from 1 species
GACGGAGGGUGCUAGCGUUGUUUCGGAAUCACUGGGGCGUAAAGGCGCGUAGGCGCCUUAGGUGUCGGAUGUGAAAGCCCGGGGGCUCAACCCCCGGAGGUGCAUCCGAAACUCUGGGGCUGGAGGUCGGAAGAGGAGGGUGGAAUACCCAGUGUAGAGGUGAAAUUCGUAGAUAUUGGGUGGAACACCGGUGGCGAAAGCGGCUCUCUGGUCCGGACCUGACG